GGCCGACUGGCGAAAUGGCAUCGCGUCUGACUACGACUAAGAGGGUGGGACCACCACAUUGUAAUCAGGAGAUUGCAGGUUCGACCCCUGCGUCGGUCA
rnacentral:tRNA from 1 species